CGAACGCUGGCGGCGUGCUUAACACAUGCAAGUCGAACGCGAAAGGGACUUCGGUCCUGAGUAAAGUGGCGCACGGGUGAGUAACGCGUAGAUAACCUGUCUUCAUGUCUGGAAUAAUACGCCAAAGGGGUACUAAUACCGGAUAUUCUUGCUUUUCAUAAGUUAUGCAAGCAAAGGUGGCCUCUGCAUAUGCUACUGCAUGAAGAGGGGUCUGCGUACCAUUAGCUAGUAGGUGGGGUAAUGGCCUACCUAGGCGACGAUGGUUAGCGGGUCUGAGAGGAUGAUCCGCCACACUGGCACUGGAACACGGGCCAGACUCCUACGGGAGGCAGCAGUGAGGAAUAUUGCGCAAUGGGGGAAACCCUGACGCAGCGACGCCGCGUGAAGUGAGGAAGGCCUUCGGGUCGUAAAGCUCUGUCAAGAGGAAAGAAGUGUACAAUGGCUAAUACCUGUUGUAUUUGACGGUACCUCUAAAGGAAGCACCGGCUAACUCCGUGCCAGCCGCCGC
rnacentral:rRNA from 1 species